GGGGCUGUAGCUCAGGUGGUAGAGCGCGACGCUGGCAGCGUCGAAGUCAGGGGUUCGAGUCCCCUCAGCUCCA
rnacentral:tRNA from 1 species